rnacentral:rRNA from 1 species
AGAGUUUGAUCAUGGCUCAGGAUGAACGCUAGCUACAGGCUUAACACAUGCAAGUCGAGGGGCAGCAUGAUCUUAGCUUGCUAAGAUUGAUGGCGACCGGCGCACGGGUGAGUAACGCGUAUCCAACCUUCCCCUUAGUAGGGCAUAGCCCGUAGAAAUGCGGAUUAAUACCCUAUGUUUUCCAAUGAGGACAUCUGAGCUGGAACAAAGAUUAAUCGCUAAGGGAUGGGGAUGCGUCUGAUUAGAUAGUAGGCGGGGUAACGGCCCACCUAGUCGACGAUCAGUAGGGGUUCUGAGAGGAAGGUCCCCCACAUUGGAACUGAGCCAGGAUCAAACUC